UAUCUUCAGGGCAGGGUGAAAUUCCCGACCGGCGGUGAUAGUCCGCGACCCUUAUCUUCGGAUGAGGUUGACUUGGUGAAAAUCCGAGACCGACAGUAAAGUCUGGAUGAAAGAAGAUA
rnacentral:ncRNA from 1 species